GAUGAACGCUGGCGGCGUGCCUAAUACAUGCAAGUCGAGCGAACGGACGAGAAGCUUGCUUCUCUGAUGUUAGCGGCGGACGGGUGAGUAACACGUGGAUAACCUACCUAUAAGACUGGGAUAACUUCGGGAAACCGGAGCUAAUACCGGAUAAUAUUUUGAACCGCAUGGUUCAAAAGUGAAAGACGGUCUUGCUGUCACUUAUAGAUGGAUCCGCGCUGCAUUAGCUAGUUGGUAAGGUAACGGCUUACCACGGCAACGAUGCAUAGCCGACCUGAGAGGGUGAUCGGCCACACUGGAACUGAGACACGGUCCAGACUCCUACGGGAGGCAGCAGUAGGGAAUCUUCCGCAAUGGGCGAAAGCCUGACGGAGCAACGCCGCGUGAGUGAUGAAGGUCUUCGGAUCGUAAAACUCUGUUAUUAGGGAAGAACAUAUGUGUAAGUAACUGUGCACAUCUUGACGGUACCUAAUCAGAAAGCCACGGCUAACUACGU
rnacentral:rRNA from 1 species